GGAUGUGAGGGCGAUCUGGCUAUGACAUCUGUCACCCCAUUGAUCGCCAGGGUUGAUUUGGCUGAUCUGACCAGCUAGGCGGGUGUUCCCUUCCUCCCUCACCGCUCCAUGUGCGUCCCUCCCGAAGUUGCGUGCUCGCUCGGUCGAAGAGGACGACCAUCCCCGAUAGAGGACUGGUCUUCGGUCAAGGGUAUAUGAGUAGCUGCGCUCCCCUGCUAGAACCUCCAAACAAGCUCUCAAGAUUGUCUCAGAUCUGUGUGCCUAGGCUGGCUUCAAACUGCGUCCUCAGAUCUCAGCCUUCUGAGUGGCUAGGAUUAUUG
ensembl:misc_RNA 7SK 7SK RNA